AGAGUUUGAUCCUGGCUCAGAAUGAACGCUGGCGGCGUGCUUAACACAUGCAAGUCGAACGAUGAAGCCUAGCUUGCUAGGUGGAUUAGUGGCGCACGGGUGAGUAAUAUAUAGAUAAUGUGCCUCUUAGUCUGGGAUAGCCAUUGGAAACGAUGAUUAAUACUGGAUACUCCUUCUCUAUCUAAUUAGAGUUGGGAAAGUUUUUCGCUAAGAGAUCAGUCUAUAUCCCAUCAGUUAGUUGGUAGGGUAAUGGCCUACCAAGGCAAUGACGGGUAGCGGGUUUGAGAGGAUGAUCCGCCACACUGGUACUGAGACACGGACCAGACUCCUACGGGAGGCAGCAGUGAGGAAUAUUGCACAAUGGAGGAAACUCUGAUGCAGCAACGCCGCGUGGAGGAUGACGCAUUUCGGUGUGUAAACUCCUUUUAUAUGUCAAGAAAAUGACGGUAGCAUAUGAAUAAGCACCGCUAACU
rnacentral:rRNA from 1 species